rnacentral:misc_RNA from 1 species
CGCCACGGGCGCACUAAGCGAUAACAAGCAAGCUACCAACAGCGCGGAAAGCGAAGACCGCGCGGUCGAGCAGUAGAUCAGGCCCAGCAUCUUGCAACUCUGCAAUUUUGUGUCGCGCAUAGUGGCGCAGAUACUAGCACAACGCGCAAUGUGGAAUCGAGCAAAAAAACUGCGUGUCAUAACCGCUGGGUCCAGGAAGGCGGGCCGCUCGAUGCUGACGGACGAAGACCGAAGCGCGAGCGAAUAUCUUCCCCGAUUGCUACCGGGCGCUUGUUAAGCGUACGGUGCGAGGAUAGAAUUGGGCCGCUCGAACUCG